rnacentral:rRNA from 1 species
UACGUAGGGUGCGAGCGUUAUUCGGAAUUACUGGGCGUAAAGCGUGCGCAGGCGGUGCUGUAAGCCCGAUGUGAAAUCCCCGGGCUUAACCUGGGAACUGCAUUGGUGACUGCAGCGCUGGAGUAUGGCAGAGGGGGGUGGAAUUCCACGUGUAGCAGUGAAAUGCGUAGAGAUGUGGAGGAACACCGAUGGCGAAGGCAGCCCCCUGGGCCAAUACUGACGCUCAUGCACGAAAGCGUGGGGAGCAAACAGG